AAAGGAUUCUGUGUUAGUGACAGUGUGAUGUUUCUUGUUUGUCUCGUCGAGUGAAUUCGAAAACGUUCAAUUGGGGACACAUGUCUCACGAAUACUAGCAAGUAUUCAGAUUCGAGCGAUAAUGAUACGUAUGUUGGCUCGAAGGUAUAUUCAAAAAAUUGAGCGUUCGGUUGCUCCAAGGUAAAACUUUUAUUGUUCAUUGCCUUCAACAAUUGUCAGCAGAAACGUCUACAUAAGGCCAAAGCAACAAUAAGGAUUAUGCUUCAAGUUUAAUGAAUGAAGACUGAAGAGUAUCAAAUCCAAGUACAAAGGAAUUAUGUUGGAAGGAUAUUUUUUUCAAGUGAUAAGCCCUUCCCAAAAUUGGAUGGAUGCUAAUGACACUGAAUCAGAACUGUACCUGGAGUCUCAGAAUUUACUAUUUUGGAUUAAGAAUACUGAUGAAGAAAAAUUGGUUGUGGGCACAGCAUUCGAAUCUUUGUAUUUAAAUCUUAUCAAGUACUAUCAAAGGGACUUGUGACUGAAGUUCAAUGAAUUUGUAUUACUGUGUCUGUGGGCUGUAUUUGGUUAACUUUAACUGUGUAUUUCAAAAAAAUUGCAAAAGAUGUUCAAAACUCAUAUGGAACUGAAAAUGGCAUAUGGUAGUUGUUGUUAUAGUAUGGUGGAUUUUUACUAACUCACAUCUUGUGAUCUAUGAAGGAUAAAGCUCCAAAAAACAUCAUAUGGAAUCCUAAUGUAUACUUGUUCUUGAUCAGUGUAGAUGGCCUUGCAAGCACGAUUUACAACAUUAGAUACAGUAGAAAGUUCGUAGAAAGAUCGAAAGUUUUUGUGACUGUGUUGUUUAAAAUUUUGUUGUUUGAGCAAUCGAGCUCGUAGUUCGCGUGUUCACACCCCCCUUAAAUUAUGAUUCGAAGGGGUGUGUGCACAGUAUAGACUGGAUUAUAUAUAUCGUACCACAUAUACGUAGAGUAUAGUAUGAAAAUUGAAGCCGGAAGACGGCUCAUUUGCAUAUGUUUUA